rnacentral:rRNA from 1 species
UACGUAGGCAGCGAGCGUUGUUCGGAAUUACUGGGCGGAAAGAGUGUGUAGGCGGCCCUUGAAGUCAGGCGUGAAAGCCCCGGGCUCAACCUGGGAGGUGCGCUUGAUACUCGAGGGCUUGAGUGCGGGAGAGGAGAGUGGAAUUCCCAGUGUAGAGGUGAAAUUCGUAGAUAUUGGGAAGAACACCGGUGGCGAAGGCGGCUCUCUGGACCGUAACUGACGCUGAGGCGCGAAAGCGUGGGGAGCAAACAGG